ACAUCAGGUAGACUUGCUUCAGAAUAUUGGUGCUGGGCAAAAGGUCACAUUUUGCACAACACCAAUAUUCUGAGGCACUUCUGCUGAAGGAA
rnacentral:miRNA from 13 species